UACCCAAUGAAACAAUCUGAAGGAUUAGAGGUACAGCUCUCAGGAAUUCAAAGUUUAAAGUUCUUGACUCAUUUUCCAAGUCACAUCAUCCACAAGAAACAAAAGUUUUCUGGCUUGGUCUGUAGCUUUAACCAGUUUGCUAAACGCAGUGGUAAACACCCUUCUAAACAGGAAGUUCUACAUCUUGUGAUUAAGACAGCUCUGCAAGCCUAAACAUUUCCUAAGUUCCUCUUCCUUUAAGAAGAUUCAUUUCCACAGAGAUACAAGAAAUGGCAUCUUUCAACAAAUUAAAAAAUUUGCUAAUACUGGCGUUUGACUGGAUCCUGUAUGGUGCUGGUGUUGCAGAUCCCUGCCGAGUCACUGUAACACAGCCCAGGUCUCAGCAAACUGACUCCUCCAUGAACACUGUGUCCCUACCAUGCACCUUCUCUGCCUCUGGAUGCUCCUCGUCCCAGCCUGAAGUUCUGUGGUUUCGCUAUUUAACUAAUAUACAUCAGGAUUUGUGUACUCCUGGAUGCACAGACAAUCAGAAGUACAAAGUACGUUCAUCAGGAGAUAACAUCUUACUUGAGAUAAAAGAUCUGACUGUAAAUGACAGCGCUGUUUAUAUCUGUGGAAUAGCAUUCUCAGACUCAGUUUCACCCCUUUCUAAACAAACAGGAGAUGGAACAGUACUAACGGUAACAGGAUCAGAGAAGCAGCACAGCAACGGAAAACUCAUCUCCAUGAUCAUUGUCUCGUCCUUACUGUUCCUGUACAGCUCUGCUGUGCUCACUUCCUUUGUGGUCUACAAGUUAAAACCAAAGCUGCUAAAGAAAUAUGGGAAAGACCAAACAACAGAGAACUGUAAAAUAAAUAGCGGCCGAAAAGUUUUUCAAGCAAUUGCUCAAGAACUUCAAAAGCAGAGAUAUGCUCGACACUGCCAACAGCCUGAUGAUUUGGAAGAUGACACCCUUUAUCAGAACAGAUGAGCACGUGCAGCACCUCAGAUUUGUUCAACAGUUCUGCAAGCAAAGGAGCAGGUGGGAUUCAUCUGAACACUAGAAACAGCCUGACCUGAACAGCUCUAUUCAGCAUUAGAUAGUUCUGAUGAUUUUGCUCAACUGAUCACUAGAGACAGCUGAGGUCACCUCUAGGUAAAAGGCCCCAGUCAGGAACCAGUUUUCUCAAGUUGCUCCAACACAGCUGAAAUGUGGUAACUUGCAAAACAGGAUCUGUGACUUCAAUAUUUGAGCUUUUUGUUGGUGCCAACAAUGUAUUCUGUGGAGUUAACAGAACAAAUUAUAUCACGUGCCCUAUUUACCUAUGAUUUCAUACUUUUGAACAUGCCCUCUACUA